AUACGUAGGGGGCGAGCGUUGUCCGGAAUGAUUGGGCGUAAAGGGCGCGUAGGCGGCCCGGUAAGUCUGGAGUGAACGUCCUGUUUUUAAGAUGGGAAUUGCUUUGGAUACUGUCGGGCUUGAGUGCAGGAGAGGAAGUGGAAUUCCCAGUGUAGCGGUGAAAUGCGUAGAGAUUGGGAGGAACACCAGUGGCGAAGGCGACUUACUGGACUGUAACUGACGCUGAGGCGCGAAAGUGUGGGGAGCAAACAGGAUUAGAUACCCUGGUAGUCCACACUGUAAACGAUGAAUGCUAGGUGUAGGGGGUAUCGACCCCUUCUGUGCCGCAGUCAACACAAUAAGCAUUCCGCCUGGGGAGUACGGCCGCAAGGUUGAAACUCAAAUGAAUUGGCGGGG
rnacentral:rRNA from 1 species